UCAACCCUCUAAAACUCAGCUUCGAAGGGAAUAGGGCACAGGGAUGAUCACUACCGAAUGGAACGCAGCCCUAGUCACGUGGGUCGCGACGCUCCAGCGCUAUAAAAGCGGACGCUCUCUGCUCCUCGCUCUCUUUCUCGCCGCAGCACGUGUAUGUUUAUGGUUCCCAGACAUACAGGAGAUCCGCUCAAAUAAAGCAUAAUGAAUUACACGCGAGGAUCCCAUCGCAGCGCUUGCAAACCACCAUGAUAAAUGCUGGAUUCAAUGUGACUUUGUCAUGAUUAUCUGCUGGCUGAUUUACUGUGUGAUAAUUACGCGCAGUUCAUGAAAAUGGUGAACGUCUGUGUCUAAACGCUGAUUCAGCACUGAGCAGAUGGAGCUGAAACCACCAUGAAGUGUCCUGAUUCACUUGGAUAAAGCGCUGUACACGUGAUGACUGUGAAUGCUGGAGAUUGAUGUCAUGUAACUUCUGUUUAUUAUCAAAUAAAUCGUAUCAAAACUA